rnacentral:rRNA from 1 species
GGCGUGCUUUAUGCAUGUAAGUCGAGCGGUUUCCCCGCAAGGGGAGACAGCGGCAAACGGGUGAGUAACGCGUAUGCAACCUGCCCUUUACAGGGGGAUAGCCCGUCGAAAGGCGGAUUAAUACCCCAUAAUAUUGUACCAUCGCAUGAUGGAACGAUAAAAGCUGCGGCGGUAAAGGAUGGGCAUGCGUGACAUUAGCUAGUUGGUAGGGUAACGGCCUACCAAGGCUACGAUGUCUAGGGGUUCUGAGAGGAAGGUCCCCCACACUGGUACUGAGACACGGACCAGACUCCUACGGGAGGCAGCAGUGAGGAAUAUUGGUCAAUGGGCGCGAGCCUGAACCAGCCAUCCCGCGUGCAGGAAGACGGCCCUAUGGGUUGUAAACUGCUUUUGUGCAGGAAGAAUGUGCCCAUCGUGAUGGGUAUUGACGGUACUGCAUGAAUAAGCACCGGCUAACUCCGUGCCAGCAGCCGCGGUAAUACGGAGGGUGCAAGCGUUAUCCGGAUUUAUUGGGUUUAAAGGGUGCGUAGGCGGUGAAAUAAGUCAGUGGUGAAAAGCUGCAGCUCAACUGUAGUCCUGCCAUUGAAACUGUUUUACUUGAGUAACCAUGAGGUAGGCGGAAUGUGUAGUGUAGCGGUGAAAUGCUUAGAUAUUACACAGAACACCGAUUGCGUAGGCAGCUUACUAGCGGUUUACUGACGCUGAUGCACGAAAGCGUGGGGAUCAAACAGGAUUAGAUACCCUGGUAGUC